rnacentral:rRNA from 1 species
CACGUAGGGGGCGAGCGUUGUCCGGAUUUAUUGGGCGUAAAGAGCUCGUAGGCGGCUAAGUAAGUCGGGUGUGAAAUCCCCAGGCUUAACCUGGGAACUGCAUUCGAGACUGCAUUGCUAGAGUAUGGGAGAGGGAAGUGGAAUUUCCGGUGUAGCGGUGAAAUGCGUAGAUAUCUGGAGGAACACCGGUGGCGAAGGCGGCAUCCUGGACCGACACUGACGCUGAGGAGCGAAAGCCAGGGGAGCAAACGGG